UACGUAGGUCCCGAGCGUUGUCCGGAUUUAUUGGGUGUAAAGCGAGCGCAGGUGGUUUAUUAAGUCUGGUGUAAAAGGCAGUGGCUCAACCAUUGUAUGCAUUGGAAACUGGUAGACUUGAGUGCAGGAGAGGAGAGUGGAAUUCCAUGUGUAGCAGUGAAAUGCGUAGGUAUAUGGAGGAACACCGGUGGCGAAAGCGGCUCUCUGGCCUGUAACUGACACUGAGGCUCGAAAGCGUGGGGAGCAAACAGG
rnacentral:rRNA from 1 species